UAGACUUGUACCGAAACUUAAUUUUGGGAAACCAACUGAACACCUAUUCACUUUGGAUGGAGAGGGUUUGCUUUGGCGACUCCGUCGUCUCUCCGUCACCCAGGACCUCCUCCCUUCGAAAUCUCUAAAUCCUGUGGUUCCCCUGUUGCCAUUCCCGUGGGGAAUCAGAUCCCUCUUCCUCUGUCAAGUCUGAUGGUGAGAAAGCUUCCUGGGCGUCAAUUCCGGUCAGCGAGUCGUCUGCUGCUGUUCCAUUAGGUCAGCUUGUGACUCUUUGAGAUGUUUGAAUUGGGCUGAGGCAGUGGAGAGCUAUUCAGAAUUAUGGGCAAGUCUUGUUGGUUAUUAUGUUAUUGUUAUAUAAGCAUAUUUUGUAUGUAAUGAAAUGUUGUCGAUGAAUCGAAAUGGAUAUACUGUGUAAAAGUGUUAGAAGAUCUCUCUUAUUUGGAAUUUCAGAAUGUUAAGUCUAAUUUAAGAUGAUAUGAACUUGUGGUGAAUAAUUGGAGUUCUGAUAGUAUAAUUUAUUUAGCUUGUGGAUUUAUAAAUGUUAUUCAUGUUUGUCGAGUUUGGUU